rnacentral:rRNA from 1 species
UACGGAGGGGGUUAGCGUUGUUCGGAAUUACUGGGCGUAAAGCGCACGUAGGCGGAUUGACAAGUUGGGGGUGAAAUCCCGGGGCUCAACCUCGGAACUGCCUCCAAAACUGCUGGUCUUGAGUUCGAGAGAGGUGAGUGGAAUUCCGAGUGUAGAGGUGAAAUUCGUAGAUAUUCGGAGGAACACCAGUGGCGAAGGCGGCUUACUGGCUCGAUACUGACGCUGAGGUGCGAAAGCGUGGGGAGCAAACAGG